rnacentral:rRNA from 1 species
UACGUAGGUGGCAAGCGUUGUCCGGAAUUAUUGGGCGUAAAGCGCGCGCAGGCGGUCCUUUAAGUCUGAUGUGAAAGCCCACGGCUCAACCGUGGAGGGUCAUUGGAAACUGGGGGACUUGAGUGCAGGAGAGAAGAGUGGAAUUCCACGUGUAGCGGUGAAAUGCGUAGAGAUGUGGAGGAACACCAGUGGCGAAGGCGACUCUUUGGCCUGUAACUGACGCUGAGGCGCGAAAGCGUGGGGGAGCG